UACAGAGGAGCCAAGCGUUGUCCGGAUUGACUGGGCGUAAAGCGCACGCAGGCGGCACCGUGCGUGGGGUGUGAAAUCUGGCCGCUUAACGGCCAGGCGCCAUCCCAUACGGCGGAGCUGGAGUGAUGCAGAGGUCGAUGGAAUUGCCGGUGUAGUGGUGAAAUGCGUAGAUGUCGGGAGGAACCCCAGUGGCGAAGGCGACUACCUGGCCUGUUUCUUGACGCUGAGGCGCGAAAGCUAGGGGAGCAAACGGG
rnacentral:rRNA from 1 species